GAUCGAGUGGCGGACGGGUGAGUAACGCGUGGGUAACCUGCCUCAUACAGGGGGAUAGCAGCUGGAAACGGCUGAUAAAACCGCAUAAGCGCACAGCAUCGCAUGAUGCAGUGUGAAAAACUCCGGUGGUGUGAGAUGGAUCCGCGUCUGAUUAGCUAGUUGGCGGGGUAACGGCCCACCAAGGCGACGAUCAGUAGCCGGCCUGAGAGGGCGACCGGCCACAUUGGGACUGAGACACGGCCCAGACUCC
rnacentral:rRNA from 1 species